AAAAACAUCACAAUUCAACAAAAGUUUGGAAAAUAUUUUUGUGUUUUUUUAUUUUUUAUCAGAAAGAUGAUGUGAAAAAAAACACCACCACCACAUUACUGAAAGAUGGUAGAGGAAACAUACUGCAAACACCACACGAGAAAAAGGCAUUUCCGCGACUUGCUUAUAUACAAACAGUGUUGGGGUAACGCGAUAAAAGUUACGUGCGUUACGUAAAUAGAUUACUUUUCCGAGUAACAAGUAAUGCAAUAUUCUUAUAUUGGACCAUAAUAUCGGAGUUAUUUUUUUAAAUAAGUAACGCAUUGCUUUUGUACACCUCUCCUUUCCCCGUACUGUGAUAAAUCAGGAGUAAAAGUGUGCAAACUUCGAGUAGGGGCAUGAUGAGCAUUGUAGUUCUAGAGAGUGGGAGGCUUACUAGAGAUGUUCAAUGAAUUUGUAGUAUGUGUGUGCAUGAUGGGCAUCUUAGUUCUAGAGAGUAUGAGCAAUGCUUAUCAGUGAUGGGCAGAGCACAACAAGUCUUCUUUUAGUCCACCCUGAGAUUUAUGUUUAAAAAAUGGCAAAAUAUUGCUGGUAAAGGAAUGUAAAUCUGAAGGCUUCAGUGGAAUCCAGUUGUACUCAUAAUUUGCAGCGGUGGAUUUUUUUGUGCACUGGAGCUUAAAUGAGCAGCCGUCAUAAACUUUGCCAUUGUCGUGACAAUCACAGCAAAAGUUAAGAAAUGUGUUCUCAUAAGGCAAUAUUUUGUCAAAAAUGUAACAUUCGGGUAAGUGAUACUUUGAUUCUCGUGACUGAUUCAUGUAGGCUGCAUUUAAAAGUGUGUAAACACAUUUUCCUGGUAUAAUAUAGCACAGGCAUAAGCCGGAUAAGUCUUCCCAUGGCCACGGCAUGAUUAUACAGAUACAUACAAUGUGGAAUGAUCGCUGACUGUUUAUGCAUCCGAAUUGCUUUGUUUUAAAGCUGCCCGUAACUACUUCUCCAGGAUCAGUUUGCAUCAGAACUGCUCUGUGUUAAAGCAUUUAACAUUCAACAUUCGGUUGAGUAAAACAUGAUUGAUUCAUGUGUAAAUACACGCUGCAUUAAAGAAAAUCAGUAAACGUGUUUAGGCAAGACAAGUCUUCUACUGGCCACGGAAUGAUACACAGGGUGAAAUAUUUGCUCAAUUCACUGACUUAAGCAGCCGAACUGCUCCGUGUUAGAGCUCCCUGUGACUGGGAGAAUGGGGUGAGAAAAGCUGACUCUGGAUCAGUGGCUGCAAGCAACGUUCUACAUCGAUUGUGUAUGCAGAGAAAAUGUCUUCAUUUCUUGAAAUAUUCAACAUUUUUGUUCUGUAAUAAACAAGUAAUUUGAUUCCUGAAACAAAGUUUUGAAGACAUUUUGGUAGCAUUAAAAACGUUUCCAUUCAUGUUGCAUCAACAUGCACGUUAAAUUAAUUUAGUUAUUUUUUAAGGAGCAACGCAACAUUCUAACGAGUUACAUUUAAAAGUAGCGUUACCCAACACUGUAUACAAAUUAUAUGUUUUAUAAAGACCAGGUAAAAAUAUAGUCAUCAGUCAUUGUUCCUGAAGAGCUUUCACAGAUUGAUGGUGAAUAUGAAUAUUUACCAUGAACACACCGUAAACACAUAAAAAACAAACAUUUUUAUACUGUCAAGAGCUUCCCUUCCAUCCAAAAUAAAAUGCAUACUACUUAGAUUACAGAAAUUACUUUCUGACAGAUUAUACAAUACAAUCAUCUACAUAUACAUAGAGAAUUUAAAAAUUCAUUCAGGCCCACAAGGUAAAAAAAGAAGAAAAACAAGACAUUUCUUAAUAAAUACAAUCACGUAUGUGAAUUAAAUAUGUUGUCAGAAUAAUUUCUAUUGCAAUAAGUUGGUUGUCUGUUUAGUGUCUGGGUUGUCAGCAUUUGAUCCUGUGUGCACAGUGCACAACUGAUGUAUCUGUAGUGCAAGUAUCGGUUUCACUGUAGUUACUUUACACAAAUCUGCUCAAUAAAGUUUCAAAACACUGGACAAAGCCCUACAGGGACUAAAGCGUAUGAAGAAUGUUGGUCUAAGAUCAACAGCAUCACUUUUGGGAUUAUUGUUUAAGACAACAUACUGUGUGAGUAAAGACGUUUAGUGCGGUUUAACAGGAGUAGAAUCCCAGCAAGACCUAUAAUAAUUUGUAACUCAUAAAAACAGACACUGAUUUGUGUUUUGGUCACAGGGCAGCGAACAGAUACCACACAAAAAGGAAUGAGAGUGAGACCUGAAUUGUGAAGGAUGAAAAAAAACAAAAAAAAAAAACACCAAUUGACUACACCGGUGUGCUUGGAUUUCCACCCCUCCAAAAAAUUACCCCACAAGUCAACUUAGCCAGCUGAGAGAUGACAAAGGUAACUGUGUGUUUCUUAAGAAAAUAACAAUCAAAUCAAUUUCAUUUAAAAAAAAAGGUCUUAAUAAGCAUUAAAACAGGUGUUUUACCAAGCACAUAAAAGACACCACAAAAUGUCACUUGGUUUAAGAGAAUUACAAUUGUGCAUUUUUAGGCCAUUUUUAUAAAAGUGAUGUUUUCAUCACUACAGAACAUUCAACAAAGAGGGGAAACUCUACUGUAAUCUUGCAAUUCAAACAAAUUAUAUUGUAAUGUUAAGUUGUUAAUUUGGGUACUGUUAAUAAAAAAAAAAAAAAAACAUUUUAUUAAAUAUCUGACAAUGCAGAAACUUCACACAAAAGUCUACAGAGUUAAAUGUGAAUAUGCAAUCUCUGACAGUAACUAAUGAUCAUCCAUUACUUAAUGAGUUCAGGUUUAGUGACAGUGUAGAAAAAAAAAAAGGCAGAAGAGUUAAAGGAAUCUUCUGGGUUCAAUAAAAGUUAAGCUCAACUGACAGCAUUUGUGGCACAAUGUUCAUCACCACACACAAAAAAUUAAAAAUAAUCUGAGUUACCGUAGACUUUAUCAGUUUGAACCAGUCUGGCCAUUCUCUGUUGACCUCUCUCAUCAACAAGGCGUUUCCAUCCACAGAACUGCCCCUCACUGGAUGUUUUUUGUUUUUGGCACCAUUCGGAGUAAAUUCUAGAGACCGUCUGGCACCAACAAUCAUGCCACAGUUCAAAUCACUGAGAUCAAAUUAUUUCCCCAUUCUGAUGGUUGAUGUGAACAUUAACUGAAGCUGCUGACCCAUAUCUGCAUGAUUUUAUGCACUGCUGCCACAUGAUUGUCUGAUUAGAUAAUUGCAUGGAUGAUUGUUGGUGCCAGACGGGCUGGUUUGAGUAUUUCUGUAACUGCUGAUCUCCUGGGAUUUUCACGCACAACAGUCUCUAGAAUUUACUCUGAAUGGUGCCAAAAACAAAAAACAUCCAGUGAGUGGCAGUUCUGCAGAUGGAAAAGCCUCGUUGAUGAGAGAGGUCAGCAGAGAAUGGCCAGACUGGUUCGAACUUACAGUAACUCUGAUAACUGAUCUGUACAAUUGUGGUGAGAAGAAUAUCAUCUCAGAAUGUAUAUACAUCCAUCCUUUUCAUUAAAAAAAGCACAAAUCUAGGUUACAUUGAUGCACUUACAACGGAAUUUAAUGAGGCCAAUUGUGAAGUGUUUAAAAGGCAGAAUUGUGAAGCUUAUAAUUUUAUAAAACCACUUACAUUAAUUCUUCUGUUAAAACUUGUGCAUUAUUUAAGCUGUAAAGUUGUUUAAAUCAACAUUUUAGGUAUUCUGGGUUUAUGGUGUUGCGUUGUCGUAGCAACAAAGUUCUAAAAUUGGAUGCACAGAAAAGGUUAGCAAGUGAUUUUAUCACACUAAAAUCAUGUUAACAAGCAUAUUGUUUAUGUCUUGUGGCUAUACUUUUGAAACUGUGAAUAUUUUCAAGUUUACAAAUUGGCCCCCAUUCACUUUCAUUGUAAGUGCCUCAGAAACCCAUUUUUUGCUUUCUUUAAAGAAAAGGAGGGGCGAGUCUAAAUUAAUUUUAAUUAAAUUUUAACGUAUUGAACCAGAAAAUAUUCCUUUACCUGCAUUUAUUUCUGUUUGUAAGAUCAUUGGCUAAAUAAAUAUUGAAACAAAUCCUUUAAUGUAUAAUUGCAGAGGAAAACUAGGAGUUCUGUUAUAGUAUUUAGUAAACAAAACUGGCUGUGGGCUAGACAAGUUUUGCUAUUAUCACCAGCCAUAUUAAGUUUUGUGCAGCAUUAAGGAGAAUUAACAAAAUGUUCUGUACAACAUUUAAUGUGAGACAUAUGACAAAACUUGAAUUACAAAAUGAGAAAACAAAAUACAUUGAAAUGAUCCAAACCUAAAGAGCAAAGCAAAUAAUAAAUACAUUUUCCCCAAUCGACAAACAAAACCCAAUAUUUGCCGUUACUUCAGCAUAAAACUGAUUGACUUCUGUCUGUAACUUCAACAAUCUGAUUUCUUACAUAUAUAUAUAUAUAUAUAAAAACAUCUUGAAUGUGCAUAACUACUGCAUCCAACUACUGCAUCCACUGUGAAGAUAGAAGGUUAUUCUGUACUGUCUUCAAUACCAGUCCUGGGAAAGACUGUCAAUGUACUUCAGGUGCAUAUUCAAUUUGCAUGAAAACUUCUCUUCAGGUCACCCAAAGGCAAAUCCUUGGCAAAAGAUCACUUCAGUCCCACACUAAUGCUUUUGUGAGAAUGCAAUUAACCAACUGUUUUCAAUAGGGACAACACAGAAGUAUUGUUCAAGACUCAGUCCAAUACAGUCAGCACUUCUUCUAAAUACUUCAAGACUGCACAGUCACAGAUCUGUGUGGCAGAGGCAUCCGGGCCUCUGAACGUCUGAAAUCAGCUCAUACAAUUGAGUAACAGCCAAGGACAAACGCAUGGUAGGGCACUUAAAGUGAAAGUAAUGUCAAAUGAUGGGCCCCAUUUAAAACUACUUCCUCUGAUCUAAGUGAUGAGAGACAGAAACUGUAUUGUUUAGAUAAUGGGAAGGCCGAUUUAUCAGAAAGCUUACACUGUGCCAAAGGCUCCUUGGGUUCCUUUCCAGCUCCUCUGUUAACUAAAAUUUUCACAUGUGCCCUUAUAGUGUCCAUUGUCUACCCUUUUUUCUUUAUUCAGUUUGUUUAAAUGAUUAGUUUAUUCUCAGGGUUAAACUGUACCUAGGAAAGGUUCUGUAGAUACAAAUCAUGUUGUGUGCUUUUGGGAGUCAGUUGUAGAUUUCUCAUGUACAGAGAAUACAACUCAUUAAUAUGUAAUUUCAGCUCACAUUCCUUAAAUUCAAAUUGCUGGAAGGCUUGUCAGUCUUCUUUACAUAUUAUAUGAUUGUGUAAUACCAGACAAAAGGUUUAGUAUGAAAAUAGGUUAGUAUGAAAGCACAAGUAACUAGGAAAAAUGCAUGCAUUGCGGAUCAAAAUCAUCUGUAGCAUGUACAUCUGAAGUGACCUUAUGCAGAUCCAUGUUGGUCCGUGUGUUUGGAGGCCAUGUAAUUUCUGUAUCCAGCAGAAAUGAGUGUUUUCAUACCAAAGCACUGCUUUCAAGAGCUGCAUUAAGGCAGAUGAUUGGAAGAUGUCAUGGCACAUCAAUUAGUCAGUCAACUCAUUAAGGAGUUAGUUAAAAAUAGCUGCUGUGCACAUUAUUAGCAUUUUAUGACACGUACAAGAAUACAGAAGGAAUAUUUACAGAACUAUAUACACAAUACAGUACAUGGAAAUUCCAGGGAGCCCUGGCAUGGCAGCAGAAUAUGCAUUAAAAAGAUCAGAGUAUGACGUGCAAGCAUGUCCGUCCAUUUCUCUACUUUGACAGUUAAUUGGUCUAAAUAUGGAGGGGCAACUUGCCGUUGGCAGAGAGAGAGAAAAUAACUCAAAAGACAGAUGCAUAGAGAUGCAAAGGCAAAUUCAGGCAUCAAAAAUGAAGAGGAAAAACUUAACGCAGAAGAACUAAAUCAACUGAGUGGCACCUUAAAUACAGAAGGCAAUCAUGGAAGAAACAUUGGCACCCACCAUGAAAUACUAGGCAUCUAUGCAGGACCUUAUAGAAGAUACUCUAUUAUAAAUGCUUAUCUAUAACAUUCAAAUGCAUUUCUAACAAAGUGGGAAUCAUAUUUGGUCAGUUUUUGUCUAUUCAAGGGCACAUGCUGUCUCAAUGCAGAAAGAGCUGAAAAUCCCACCAAUGAGAUGCUCUCAUCAGUUUAACUCAAAAAAUGAAAAAGUCAUCAUUAGCCUUCUCAAGUAUAUAUAGGCAUGACUGAAGAAAAAUAAGCAAAAAAAUUAUCUUUCUACACACACAACAUCACAGCAUAAAGCAAAAGUUGUGUUCUGAGAUCAAUACACUAGACCGCUAGCAGCCAUUAAUCCAAGACACACCAGUUCAGAGAGAAUCUACAGGUUUAAAGACCUAUAUAAAUAAAGAGCUACACUAAUAAAGAUUUAUGCAACAGAUAUCCUGAAUAAAGCCUCCAAAUCCAGAAUAAUAUAAAGUGGUGCUGACUAACUGCAUGUUUUAUAUGUGUGUCUUCUCCCAGCACUAGGCUAAGAAAAUUAGUUUGUGCAUUUCUGCAUGCUCUGUUUUGAGAGCAAGUGUGGUAAAUGUGAGACUGAGAACUAACAUCAUUUCUCAUGAUUUUGUUUAAAGUUUGUGGUUAAAAAGAUCUUUAGCAGCAUCACCUGUGCGGUUAGAGAAAGAGAGAGGAAAGCCAUCAAACCAAUUUCAUCUGUGGCUUUCUUGUUAUUCCCUCUCUUUCUCUCUUCUAUAAAAUAUAUCUCAUUAUCUCUUGUGCUGAGCACCCGUAGUUCUUUCCAAAGCUCCCAUUCAGAGAAAAAACCCCUUCAUACCAGCGCUCAGAGGCACCCAUCAUCUUCCUUGAGUUUCUGUGCACUCAUCUCUUCUGUUCAAAUUCGCCUCUGUAAUAAGUCUGCUCUGCUUUUA